GAUGAACGCUAGCGGCAGGCUUAACACAUGCAAGUCGAGGGGUAUAGUUCUUCGGAAUUAGAGACCGGCGCACGGGUGCGUAACGCGUAUGCAAUCUACCUUUCACAGAGGGAUAGCCCCAGAGAAAUUUGGAUUAAUACCUCAUAGUAUAGCAGUUUCGCAUGAAACCACUAUUAAAGUCACAACGGUGAAAGAUGAGCAUGCAUCCCAUUAGCUAGUUGGUAAGGUAACGGCUUACCAAGGCAACGAUGGGUAGGGGUCCUGAGAGGGAGAUCCCCCACACUGGUACUGAGACACGGACCAGACUCCUACGGGAGGCAGCAGUGAGGAAUAUUGGUCAAUGGACGCAAGUCUGAACCAGCCAUGCCGCGUGCAGGAUGACGGUCCUAUGGAUUGUAAACUGCUUUUGUACGAGAAGAAACAACAUUACGNGUAAUGUCUUGACGGUAUCGUAAGAAUAAGGAUCGGCUAACUCCGUGCCAGCAGCCG
rnacentral:rRNA from 1 species